UGCAUUAGUUUAUAAAAAUAAACGUCAAAAAAAGAUUCAAUAAUUACUUGUUGAGUGGACGUCGAUAUCUAUCGCGCAAAGUAAAUUAGAUGUGAAAUAAUAUCCAAAUUUUUGCCACUCUUCUAGACUUAAAGUUGAUAGUUGGGUGUACAAAGCAGCAAUAUUGAUAUGGUUAAAGUUUGACAAAAAUAUAUUGAAAUUAAUAUUCUAUAUGACAAUCGAAUACGGAACUCAAAGGAAAACAUAUGGUUUUUCAAUUGAUUUCACUUGUGUCCAUGGCGUCUUUUUUCUUCAACCUCCUUAAGAUGGAGGGAAUACAAAAUCAAACUGCACUCCUUGAGAUAGUCAGCGACCUCCUUUUUAUCUGAAAAAUAAUAUAGUUUGAAUCACAUUUUUUUUCUAAACAAAAAUGUUCAACAUUACUAUUAUAUAUAGCAAUCUGAUAAGGUGUGUGAUUUCGAUAAUCUGUAAUAGUAAGACUGGCUCCAUUGGCGACAAGGAUUUGAACGAUCUCAGCCAUAUGAAGAGGUGUCCGCUUAAGAGCGUCUAUAGGAUCAACCUUGGCUCCUUUCGUGAUGAGCAUUUCAACGACAUCCCUGUGACCUAAAAAAUAACACCAGACAUUGAAAAAGAUCAAACCAAAUUCACAUUUAUUGAAAAUAGGUACCAUUCUUGGCUGCUAAGUGAAGAGCUGUGUGAUUAAAAACGUCUGUAAUAUCAACUUUGGCUCCGUUGCUGACAGGCUUUUCAGCGACAACCUUGUGUCCUGAAAAGUUACACCGAAUAAAUGAAGAGGUGUCCGCAUACGGCUGUUACUGAGAUCAACUUUAGCUCCAUUGCUGAUGCGCUGCAAGUGAGUAUUUUACUUAAUCCAGACGUGAAACAUGUUUUUCCAUACCCGGAGACGUAUCUCGAUUAUACAAAUAAAUGGUUUGUGAAAAGUUCACCCUCUUUUACAAGACCUUCGCAUUCAUAUUCUAGCUCCAAUUCUGAUUUUUUUGAAAUUGAUUUUUGUCAUUGAACUAAAUCUUUACAUCGUCUAUAUCUUCACCAUCUAAACAAUGGGCGGUACAAUUAUCUAAAAAAAAAUUAUUUUGUUCAUAAAUAAUUGUAUAAAAAUUAUUAAAAGAUUUUUACAUAUUUUGCAUCCAAUCGUAAUGUUCCACUCUGAAGUCUACUGUUGCAAAAUUUAUCAUGUUCGGCAGUUAAAUCGUACGCUUGAAAUUUAAUGUUGAAGAGCCCUACAAACAAUGCGGCAUAGAAUAUAGAAUUAAGACCGUUUACAUUGCGAAUCGUGAAGUUGGGUAACUAGUUAAUAGUUCCCGAUUUUCAAUAAUAGCACAAAGUUUGACGUGAUAAAAACGUCUGCUGGUGUUACCCCAAGAAUGGUUCAUAUACAUUUUAAAAUAUUUCAUUAUUGUGAAUCAUUUAAAAAUGAAAUUCCGAACAGCCAAAGAGAUAUAAACAAAUUAUCACAUUGAUUUUUAAAAUUUCAUAGCCAUUCUGUAUUAAAUUCAUGUUAUUAUUUGAAAUAAUCAAUAAUAUUUGGAAUUUGAUUACUUUUUGUUUAUGUUUAGAUAUUCGAUUAGUCGAUUUGAUUUAAAUAUUUUGAUUUUUCUUAUAAAUUUUUAACUCUGCUACGUUUUCGGUCAAUGGCACUGCAACAUCAUUAGUGAACAGUGCCAAACUCGACGAUUUAAACGACACUCCAACCAAAAUUGGAUCAGCCAAAAUCAAAAAUGCCACAAUUAUCAAAAUGUGAAUUACGGGCAUUUGAAUAUAUUUAUUCAAGUGAAUGUGACUUGGCUUACGCUGAUGCUGACAAUGACUAUCAAAUCAUUGAAAACGACACUGCAACAAUCGAAUCCAAACAGUAACCUUCUGUGUCAAAUGCACCAGCAUCUCGAAAAAUUGUCAAACUUAAACGUCGUCGUUCACCUGAUUUAGUUACAAAUCGUAUGCUAAUUUAAAAAAAAUCAACAAUACCACAGAAAUCGGUUUUAUUUUAUUAUUAUUGUUCAUUUUGAAUAACUAUUAUUAUUAUUAUUCAAUUUGUUUUGUGACAUUUAACCAAAAUGUCUUUUUUCUAUGACAAUUUUGAAAUUAUGUAUUAACUUUGAGAGGAUGUGGGUUUUAACGGUGAUGAGAUGUGUUUUACAUCUGUGAUUCAUACCUUUUCCCCACCACACACACAUAUAAAAACAUAAAGAUACAAAAAAAUGUAUAUUGUAUACAACCAAACUAUGAUUCAGCCAGUCUUUGGCGAUUAUUUUUAUUAAUUUUAUAUAGAAAAAUGCACUUGAUCAAGUCUAUAGUAUGAACUUUCAAAUGUACAAACCUGUGGAUUUUUCAUUUACAUCAUGAGAGCACAUAACCGUUUCUUUUCCUUCAUCAUCAAACUUUUUAAGAUUUGUACCCAAACAUGUUAAUGGUGUACAUGUUUCUUGAACAAUUUCGUAUAGUUGUGAACUGGUCCCGCAGUCAU